rnacentral:rRNA from 1 species
ACGGAGGAAAAGGAAACCAACAGGGAUUGCCCUAGUAACGGCGAGUGAAGCGGCAACAGCUCAAAUUUGAAAUCUGGCUCUCUUUGGGGGUCCGAGUUGUAAUUUGCAGAGGAUGCUUUGGCAUUGGCGGCGGUCUAAGUUCCUUGGAACAGGACAUCGCAGAGGGUGAGAAUCCCGUACGUGGGCGCCUGCCUUUGCCGUGUAAAGCUCCUUCGACGAGUCGAGUUGUUUGGGAAUGCAGCUCUAAAUGGGAGGUAAAUUUCUUCUAAAGCUAAAUACCGGCCAGAGACCGAUAGCGCACAAGUAGAGUGAUCGAAAGAUGAAAAGUACUUUGGAAAGAGAGUCAAAAAGCACGUGAAAUUGUUGAAAGGGAAGCGCUUGCAGCCAGACUUGCCCGCAGUUGCUCACCUAGGCUUUGGCCUGGGGCACUCUUCUGCGGGCAGGCCAGCAUCAGUUUGGGCGGUCGGACAAAGGCCUCUGUCAAGUAUCUCCCUUCGGGGUGACCUUAUAGGGGAGGCGUAAUGCGACCAGCCCGGACUGAGGUCCGCGCAUCUGCUAGGAUGCUGGCGUAAUGGCUGUAAGCGGCCCGCU